UUUAAUAGAUUGAAAUUCGAAAAUAAACCGUAUAAAUAUUGCCUAAUAAAUUUUCUCGUAUAUUAUAUAUAUAAUAGUCACUUAUUCAUUUAUUUUCAUACCAAUAUAAGCAAAUAAUAAUUCAGAAAUUGUUCUUGAGAGUUUAACUCACAAAGUCUAACGAUAUUCUGUAAGAUUAAGUCAUUUCAUUGCUGGAACAAUUCAUUUUUACGACUAUCAUAACAUACUCGUAUAAUAAUCUUCCUUCAUUAUAUAUAAUUUAGAUACAUAAUAACAACUCCAUAAACAAUAGUUUUUAUAAAUUUAUUUAUCUUAUUUUAUGUUCUCAAAUUAUACAAAAAAAAAGCCAACAUUUAUCUAUACAUGACAUAAAUUAUUGCAAUAUAAAAUAAGUCGUAACUCAAAAACAAUGUCAUAUACCAGCCAUAUAUACGGUGUUCAUAUAUUUAUAGGAACACCUUUGAAAGAUCGAUUCUUUAACUCAAAACAGAUACAAAACUUGAUGCACAAAAAUAUCAAUCGAGGUUUAUUUAUUAAAUUACGAGCAAUUUUCGUCUCACUUUCUUUCCAUCUGGAAAUUGCUCAUAACUUAAUAAAUAAGUUAACUUGAAUCGACAUUUUUCUAUUUCUUUUAACCGUCCAAUUUUUAUAUUUACUUUAACCUCUUUUUAGAAUUGACCCAUGCAUCGACAUCCUCAAUAUUUGCACAGAAUUUUCAAAAAUUUUAAAGAAACCUUACCUUUUAUACAAAUUGCAUAAUUACAUAAUUCUUAUUUCCCUUCACUCCUUCAGAACCGCACACACAACUACAAUUAAUGCAUCCUAUUUCAUAGUUCCCCCUCCCUUAAAAAGAUCACUUUAAAAGAAUCUAGUCUGGUAACCAGUGUGGUGGGGGAAGGCUUGUGCGCCAAAGCUCACGGAAGAACGGGCGCGUAUAUCGGCACGUCCCGAGGUACAAAACCGCGACACGAGGCAACGAAUUAAUCGUCGUAGCAAACGGGCCAUUCGAUAAACAAGAAACACGAUGUAGAACAGCACUCUAAGCUCCCGAGAGAGCGAGGAAAAUUUAAGGUAACGUUAGCCCGCAAAUUUAAGGCGACCGCAUCGCCGUCUCGCUAACUAUACCCGGUGUGUCGGUGUGUGUAUUUAUGGGAAGGAUGCAUCGUCACGUUAAUCGAACCAUACCGCGAGCCAAUACACGCGUGCGGCAAGAGCCCAGUCUUUACUUGCCGAGUAACGAGCUGACUGCGCCUCGCGCUUCCACGAUUCUUUUUUCAGUGCUCCUCGAUCGAUAAAUCGAUCGAUCGGUAAAUAUAUAUAUAUAUGGAAUUUUCUUGUGAAAAAUUAGAGAUCGUUCUAGGCACGAAUAUAUAUUUGAGAGUAAAAAAUGUAUAAUCUUUAACGUGUUUAAAAUAGUCAAGACCAUCGACCAUCCUCGCAAAGAGAUAUCGAACGAAACUAAAGGAUCGAACCAAAUCUUUUUAAUUUUCGAUUUUGAAGAAGGGAGAAAAAAAAAACAGAUUGGAAGCAACGACGUUUAUUAAAUUUACCGCAAAUAGGCUCGUUAUAACCAACAUCUCGGGAAACUGGCAAACUAGUAUGGAAAAUGCACGAGGUAACGAUAUGUUCCGUGGAAAAUUAUUAUCGACCAUAAAAGCGUAUAAGUACAAUGUUGUACACGGCCGUUUCAAAAGGAUCCUCCUCCUCAUCCAUGAACGGAGGAGGAGGAGGCGGCGGAGGAGGAAUGGAGAAUGGUAUCGGUAUUUCUUUGUGCAUUUAUUCGACUAUGACUAUAUAUACUUUUAUAUACGAAAUUAAAUAAAAAUAGGUCGACUACGACAAAUAGUAAUUA